GGUCAGUGUUGGGUGCGCUGAUCCCUCAGGGUAUCUAGGAACUCAUCUGCCAGCUUGGCGGCCUCUUGCAGGGUGUGUGGUUUCCGGUCCCUUACCCAAUUUUGUAGGUGGGACGGUAUCCCGUUGAAGAACUGUUCCAUGACCAUUAACUGGAACAGGUCCUCUAGCGUGUUAACUUGGGUAGCUUCAAACCACCCCUUUGCAGCUCGGUGC